rnacentral:rRNA from 1 species
CAGUCGCCGCGGUAAUACGGAGGGUGCAAGCGUUAAUCGGAAUUACUGGGCGUAAAGCGCACGCAGGCGGUCUGACAAGUCAGAUGUGAAAUCCCCGGGCUUAACCUGGGAACUGCAUUUGAAACUGUCAGGCUGGAGUCUUGUAGAGGGGGGUAGAAUUCCAGGUGUAGCGGUGAAAUGCGUAGAGAUCUGGAGGAAUACCGGUGGCGAAGGCGGCCCCCUGGACAAAGACUGACGCUCAGGUGCGAAAGCGUGGGGAGCAAACAGAAUUAGAUACCCCUGUAGUCCCUGUCUCUUAUAC